GAAGUUGGCUGGACAGUCGCCGCCCGCGCAAGCGGGGGGAGGAAAGUCCGGGCUCCGCAGAGCAGGAUGACGGCUAACGGCCGUACGCCGUGAGGCGAGGAACAGGGCCACAGAGACGAGCGUAUUAAGUUACGGUGAAACGCGGUAACCUCCAUCCGGAGCAAGACCAAAUAGGGUAGCAAGGGCGUGGCUCGCGCUGCUACCGGGUAGGUUGCUUGAGCGUACGAGCAAUCGUGCGCCUAGAUGAAUGACUGUCACGCAUCGCAAGAUGCGACAGAACCCGGCUUAUCGGCCAACUUCCUUU
rfam:Methylovorus glucosetrophus SIP3-4, complete genome.